GAUCAUGGCUCAGAUUGAACGCUGGCGGUAGGCUUAACACAUGCAAGUCGAGCGGAAACGAAGGUAGCUUGCUACCAGGCGUCGAGCGGCGGACGGGGGAGUAACGCGUGGGAAUUUGCCCAGUAGUGGGGGGGACAACAUGUGGAAACGCAUGCUAAUACCGCAUACGCCCUAAGGGGGAAAGCAGGGGAUCUUCGGACCUUGCGCUAUUGGAGAAGCCUGCGUCGGAUUAGCUAGUUGGUGGGGUAAAGGCCCACCAAGGCGACGAUCCGUAGCUGGUCUGAGAGGAUGAUCAGCCACACUGGGACUGAGACACGGCCCAGACUCCUACGGGAGGCAGCAGUGGGGAAUAUUGGACAAUGGGCGAAAGCCUGAUCCAGCCAUGCCGCGUGUGUGAAAAGGCCUUAGGGUUGUAAAGCACUUUCAGUAGGGAGGAAAAGUUAGUCGUUAAUAACGGCUAACCCUGACGUUACCUACAGAAGAAGCACCGGCAAACUCCGUGCCAGCAGCCGCGGUAAUACGGAGGGUGCGAGCGUUAAUCGGAAUUACUGGGCGUAAAGCGCGCGUAGGCGGCCUGAUAAGUUGGAUGUGAAAGCCCUGGGCUCAACCUAGGAACUGCAUCCCAAACUGGCAAACUAGAGUGCGGAAGAGGAGUGUGGAAUUUCCUGUGUAGCGGUGAAAUGCGUAGAUAUCGGAAGGAACCUCAGUGGCGAAGGCGGCCCCCUGGCCAAAGACUGACGCUCAGGUACGAAAGCGUGGGUAGCAAACAGGAUGAGAUACCCUGGUAGUCCACGCCGUAAACGAUGUCUACUCGGAAUUUGGUGUCUUGAACACUGGGUUUUCGGAGCUAACGCGUUAAGUAGACCGCCUGGGGAGUACGGUCGCAAGAUUAAAACUCAAAUGAAUUGACGGGGGCCCGCACAAGCGGUGGAGCAUGUGGUUUAAUUCGAUGCAACGCGAAGAACCUUACCUACUCUUGACAUCCAGAGAAUUCGCUAGAGAUAGCUUAGUGCCUUCGGGAACUCUGAGACAGGUGCUGCAUGGCUGUCGUCAGCUCGUGUUGUGAAAUGUUGGGUUAAGUCCCGCAACGAGCGCAACCCCUAUCCUUGAUUGCCAGCGAGUAAUGUCGGGAACUUUGAGGAGACUGCCGGUGAUAAACCGGAGGAAGGUGGGGACGACGUCAAGUCAUCAUGGCCCUUACGAGUAGGGCUACACACGUGCUACAAUGGUCGGUACAGAGGGUUGCCAAGCCGCGAGGUGGAGCUAAUCCCACAAAGUGUCUCGUAGUCCGGAUCGGAGUCUGCAACUCGACUCCGUGAAGUUGGAAUCGCUAGUAAUUGUGGAUCAGAAUGCCACGGUGAAUACGUUCCCGGGCCUUGUACACACCGCCCGUCACACCAUGGGAGUGGGCUGCAAAAGAAGUGGGUUCGCUUAACCUUCGGGAGGGCGCUCACCACUUUGUGGUUCAUAACUGGGGUUGAAUCAGGA
rnacentral:rRNA from 1 species